GUUAAGAUGGUUGAGUUGGUCUAAGGCACUAAAUUAAGGUUUUGAUGCAAAAAGGCAUGGGUUUGAAUUCCAUUCUAAACA